rnacentral:rRNA from 1 species
UUGGAGGGCAAGUCUGGUGCCAGCAGCCGCGGUAAUUCCAGCUCCAAUAGCGUAUAUUAAAGUUGUUGCAGUUAAAAAGCUCGUAGUUGAAUUUCGGGAUCAGAGUGUCGGUCGUGCCUCGGUACGCACUGGUAUUAUUGGUUCCUACCUUCUGAAGAACCGCGAUGUCAUUAAUUUGGUGUCGUGGGGAAUCAGGACUGUUACUUUGAAAAAAUUAGAGUGUUUAAAGCAGGCUUUAGCUUGAAUACAUUAGCAUGGAAUAAUGAAAUAGGACGUUCGAACCUAUUUUGUUGGUUUCUAGGAUUAACGUAAUGAUUAAUAGGGAUAGUUGGGGGCAUUAGUAUUCAAUUGUCAGAGGUGAAAUUCUUGGAUUUAUUGAAGACUAACUACUGCGAAAGCAUUUGCCAAGGAUGUUUUCAUUAAUCAAGAACGAAAGUUAGGGGAUCGAAGACGAUCAGAUACCGUCGUAGUCUUAACCAUAAACUAUGCCGACUAGGGAUCGGAUGAUGUUAAUUUUUUAAUGACUCAUUCGGCGCCUUACGGGAAACCAAAGUGUUUGGGUUC